rnacentral:rRNA from 1 species
AACGUAGGUUCCGAGCGUUAUCCGGAUUUACUGGGCGUAAAGCGUGUUCAGGCGGCUUAGCAAGUCGGGCAUGAAAUCUCUCGGCUCAACCGGGAGGGGCUGUCCGAUACUGCUGGGCUUGAGGGCAGUAGAGGGUGGUGGAAUUCCGGGUGUAGUGGUGAAAUGCGUAGAUAUCCGGAGGAACACCAGUGGCGAAAGCGGCCACCUGGACUGUACCUGACGCUCAAACACGAAAGCUAGGGGAGCGAACGGGAUUAGAAACCCCCGUAGUCC